rnacentral:lncRNA from 1 species
CAUAGCUAUCUCGAACACUUCUCACAUGCAUGAAGAUUACCCAGAAUGCUCUACUAUAUAGAGUGAAAUUUAUCUUACACAUAGCACAUGCAUUUUAAGUGUUCUAAAAUUCACAUAAAUCCUAUCUAGCAUGAAUUUGCAUUCAAAAAGACUUUACGAUAAGUAUAGAAAGCAUAGGGGUCAUUUUGCCCCGUUUUCAUGAAGUCAAACCUACCGAAAAACG